CAUAAAUCUUACAUAUUUUCCAAUCCAGAGAUCAACAAUUUCACACUGGUAUAAUCACUUGAGCGUACAAGCAGAGCAUCCCCUGAGGCAAACUAAUUCCUAGGAUGGUAGUAAGGGAAGACGGUGUAGAAGGUCUGCAGGAAGGUGAAAACAAGAACGAAAACUGCUGCGAUCAAGGAAAGGAUGGCCCACGGGUUGCCGAAAUAGUCCCUGACCAGCUUCGCCCUCCACUUGGGCCAAUCGGAAUCGCAGUACUUCCUCACGUCCCGGAACAACCCGGCGAGGUAGUGCUUCUCGAAAUCCAUGGCGGCGCAGUCGGAGAGCUGGUUGAAGAACACCGCCAGCUCCUUGUCGCUCGCCAGCUUGUUCUCCAGGAUCCCGCUCUGGUGGAGUAUCGCGACGUCUGCCGGCGUGUCGAUGAUGCAGUCCAUGAACGUCGCGUAGCUCGUCAUGUACGCCUCCUCCGGCUUGCACCCGCCGCACUGCUCGAAUGCCACGAGGUUCGUGAACCGCGAUAACGUCGAGUUCUCCACCGAGAGGAAUGGGAUCUCGAGCACGCCGUCGUGAAAUGCGACGUCCAGGAACGAACCGGGAUGAUGCUGAUCACUCUCGUUCCUUUUCCUCUUCUCGCCCUUCCUCUUAAACGUCACUCCGGCCUCCUCGAGCUCGGUCGCGGACGGAAUCGUAUUCGGCGAUCUUUUCUUAUCCGCCGGCGCCUGCGAUCGGGAAAUCUUUAAUCGGAGAUAAGAGAGGAGGGAGGCGAAGAUCUUAGUCGGCUUUAACCAUUUGAGAAUAGUACCGCAGAUGGUACUGCCCCUCGGGUCAGUUUGUGGUUUCGUGAUGUAGCAGCGGUAGUAGAGAUGCAACAGGUGGUGGAAAUCUUUGGCUUCGCCGUGCACGGAAGCGGCGGCGGCGGAGACGCGACUGGCCAGCAUCUCUUCCUCGGGCCUCUCGACGUUUCUGCUCGCGAGGUAGUUCACGAGAAGCUCCAUCAGGGAGGGUAUCUCCUCGUCGUCCAUGGUGAACGUGACGAGCUCGAACAGCUUCUCGAGCACGAAGAGGGGGAUCUGGUUCUCGAGCAGGAGCAGGUCGCCGCGCACGAGCGGCAAGCUCCAUCCGGCGGUGCAGACGCUGUCGUCGUCCCCCUGGCUCCACUUGAUGAUGAACUCGAGGACAAAGCACCCGUCGAGGAGCAGCAUCUCCACGAACUUCUCGGCGCUGAGCUCGACGGGCUCGAAGUAGCACCGCCGCGCCCGAGGCUCCAGCUCCCGGAUCUCGGCUACAUGGCGCGGAGGACGGGGCGGUCGACGCGGCUGUAGGGGUUGCGGGAGAGGAAGUCCUGCAGGUAGCGCCACUUGUGCUGCUCCAUGGCGCGGAGGACGGGGCGGUCGCCGCGGCCGUAGGGGCCGACGGACACCAUCCGGGGCUCGUAGAGGUGCGUGUUGCGCUGCCGGACGUGGGCCGGGACGCGGAAGAUGGUGAAGCUCUCCGGCGCCAUCGGGUUGCGGUUUAAUCCCCUGAUGUUCGACCUGACGGAGCUCAGCACGGCCUCGUCGAUGUCUAUGGCGACCGCCUCUCCCUGAUCCUGUGCCAUCGCCGGCGGCUAUCCUGUGCAGUCGAAGAUCGUCCUCGGUAUGUAAUCUCCCUCCCUAUAUUAGUACCUGUUCCAGAUCCAGUCGGCACAAAGGGGCAAUAGUAAAGAUUUUCUCUAAGAAGAAAAUUUUCUUUUUUCCCCUAAAAGCUUGUUAGGGGAAAACGCACUGAAUUUAUUUGAACUAUACGUUUUUAAAAUUUUAAUAUAUUAUCUAAUUUUUAAUUUAUUAAGUUAUAAUCGGUUGAUUUUUUUUUAAUAAAUAAUAUAUUAUUUAGUGAAAAGAUAAACUAAACUAUAUGGACGAAACAUCGCAGUGCAAUGGGGUCGAUAAUAUUUGAACUGCAAAAUUUAGUGCUCUAGGAUCGGUUUGUUUUUUUGGGUUGCGGAUGAGCCUUUGAAGAAGCAAAGGAAGAAGCAAAGCUUAUCCGCUUUCCUGUCUGUCCGGACCGGCAGCGCUUGGGCACCCCAUCUCUCCCCCAACUUGCCUCGGUCUUCAGCCCACGCUGUACGACGCUGAAACGCAUACCAGUUAGGGGUGUAAUGUGGGCCGUGCCGGGGCGGCACGGCCCACAUUUUUCGUGCCAAAUCGGGCUAAGGUCAGGCCCGGCCCGGCCUGAAUUUAAUUCGGGCCGGGCCGUGCCGGCCUAAUUUUUCUAUCCUCUGGCCCGCACGGCCCUUUGGCCCGAAGGCACGGCCGUGCCGGCCGGGCCGUGCUUCGGGCCGGCCUAUAAAAUAUUUAUUUUAAAAAAAUAAAUAAAUUUGUAUUAUUUAUUUUAAAAAAAAAAAAGAAAAAGUUUAUAGACUUUUGGUCCAAUGGACCAAAAGUCUUUUGUCCAUUGGACCAAAUGUCCUCCUCCCCAGGUCUGCUGAGGCAGACCUUGGAGGAGAGCUCCUCGGGAGAGGGCCGAGCCCUCCUCCACAGGAGCUCAGAACUCAUGGCCCAAGGCAAUUGCCUUGGGCCAUGGGAUGCGGGCCGGGCGGCCCGGUGGCGACGGCCCAAGCGGGCCGUGCCGUGCGGGCGCGCCCGCCACCCUGCGGCCCGGCACGGCGGGCCCGAUUCGGCCGUGCCGUGCCGGGCCGUCGGCGCUCUCAAAAUGGUGGCCCAGCACGGCCCAGGCUUCGGGCCGGCGCGGCCCGGCACGGUGCUACAGUACCCGUGCGUGCUGUGGCCCGGCCGAGGCCGUGCCGGGCCGGCGGCCCACGUGCCGCCGGCCCGUUUUAAUCCCUACAUACCACGCACGGCUCGGAUGCCAAUUACAGAUUAAUUAUUUAUUUUAAUAAUUUAUUAUUAUAAAAAUUAUAUAAAAUAUAUUAAAUAAAUUUAUAAAAAUAUAUAAUAUAUUAUUUUAAAGUAAAAAUAUUCUUUUCUGACUCAAAUAAAUAAAAUUAAAGAUUGCGUAAUAAAAUCAAACUCUUGAAAGAUUUAUUCACUAAAUUAAAAUAGUUUAAAGACUAGAUAAAUUUUUACAUUAAUUUUUUAAGUAAAAUACACAAAAUUUAUCUAAACUAUAGAUUAUUUUGAGUUGGUUUACUCAACCUUUUAAAAUUUUAAUUUUAUUAUUUAAUAUUUCAAUUUGUUCGAUUUUGAGUCAGCUAACAGUAUUUUGAUUUCAAAAUUUAAAUAUAUUAAUUAUUUUUAUAGGUUUAAUUAGUAUACUUUAUAUAAUUCUCACAAUUAUAUAAUUUAUUAAAUUAAAUAGUUAGCUUACAUUUUGAAGUCAAAAAAUCGUUGAUUGACUCAAAUUAAAGAAAUUAAAGGAUUAAAUAAUAAAUUUUAAAAAUUAAAAAUUUAGAUAGUCCAUUUAAAAUUAUUUAUAAUUUAGAUAAAUUUUGUAUGCUUUUAUCUUUUUUUUAUAAAUAUUUUUCAACGGAAAUUAAUAAAAGCAAGUAAAUGCCUAGAGUGCCAUUGUCCGUUGAUUGUGAGAAGUGGGCCUUAGAUGGCUCAGUGUAGUUUCUAGAAAGACCUUAGAGAUGUGGGUUGGGUGAAUAGGAGCUCUCAACAGGUCCUUUUGAAUGUGGUCGAUAUUUAGAAUACUUUUUUUCGAAAGAUAGAUAGCAUCCUACUCGCUUUAUUUAUUUUAUUUAGAAAUAAACUUAAUUAGAAAUGUGAAUUAAUUAGAAUUUGAAUUUGGGACCUCGGGUUUUAACCACAAAGUUCUUUACCACUUGCUCUAGAAACGGUCGGUCAGAAUACUUAAACGAGUUGGAUUCUUUUUGGGGAUUUCAAAUUCUCCACCUGUUCGAGUCUUAAAAGGUUCAGUUCUAAUGGUAGACUAGACAUCUUUUUCUUUACUAUUGGUGGUUUCAUCACCACUGAUUCCAGAAACUUUGCGUUAACAGAUUUGAGUUGAAUUUUUCCAUUUGGAAUGAAUGGGAUUAUAUCGGAUUCACUUAUUUUCUUUUUUCCAGAGGAAAAGGAUUUAGCCCCUAUUGGAUUCAUUUCACCGAUAGAGAAGUUAAACAUAAACCACUAGAAUUCCGAUCUCAAGUUAUCAGAUUCAUAAAAAAAAUCCACCCAAAUCUGGUGAAAUCAAUUCUAAUCAUGAAGAUUCCAUAGAAAGAAAUCAAUGAUAAUUGAAUCGGAAUUCAUAAAUUGAAGGUACUCUAUGCAGAAAGUGUAAAUUAACACAGAGCAACAUAUAUUCCAGCUACUGAAAUAUCAAAUUUAAAAACGAAAAAUGAAGGACCAAAAAAGGGGCAACUACGUACGUAUCAAACACUAUAGUUUAUCUAGUUUGUGCACUCAAGGUGAAGUAUGGACCCAUCUAUAGAAAAUUGUGUGAAAAAGAAUAGCUUUUUACUUAAUUAACAGAAGGCAAAUUCAAAAAAGAACCUGAUGCUCAGAUAAUCAAAUUCAAUGUAGAAUAUCUAAUGGCUUAAUUAUGAAAUUAUUACAGGAGCAUUAAUUAUGAGCUUACAUCACAAGCUAGCUAAUAGCGUAUGUUAACACAAUACAUAUUUAAACUAAUGAGAAAUGACAUGUGAAAAAUACACAAUAGUAAUAUUCGCCUCCAUCAAGGAACGAGAUUAUUGCGAAAUGUUAGAUCUCAUGUGUAGAGAAUAGAUAGACUACAACAUUGCUCUUUUCCAAACAAUCAUUCAUUGGAAACUAUGAAUUUUUAUACUUUUGUAUUGGCAAACAGGAUUCCCAAUAAAUCAACAUAUGGGAUUGCUCUCCUUCGGUAGGGCCUUGCGUCAGGAUUUUGCUGUGUAAAAAAAGAAAGGUUUGAAUAAAUUAGAUCUUAGUAUUAAAUAUUUGAAAAGGUGAUGUGAUAGUGUACCUUGAUAUAUUCAUUCCAUUCAGCAUCUUUAGCAAUUACUAUUUGACGCUGAUGAUCCCAGCUAAACUUUGGAUGAUGCCUAAUAUUGUUCACUAUUCGAUAUUCACGUCUAUAAAAAUUGAAGCGCUCAAACAAAUGUUUAUAUUCAUACUGCAAGUCAGUUGAUUCAUUGAACUUGGCUACUAUGUUGCACCAAGAAUCCUCUCCACCGUGUAGUAUUUUUUCCCGCCCUGCAUUUGAAAUUUGCUCCACAAACAAACUAAGCAAUACUUUAUCAUGCUCUUUUUCCCAUAUUGCUAAAGGUUUAUCUGUUAUUGUAAUUUUUUUCCUUGCUGAAAUUACAUUUGGCCUCUCUUUCCUAUAAGUAAACAAAAGAGAAACCGAAACUUACAAUUUAAGAAUUUUAUUUCCCAAGAAAUAAAGAACAUUCUGAUCUUAAAAAAAAAUAAAUUACAACCAUUAGGAAAUAUUCAGAAAGUUAGUUCUACAGUUGCAUGAGAAAUAACAAUAACCAUAUGAUGGCAUUCAUCAUAAAUGAAUUCUUCUUGCUACUGAAGUAAAGGAAAAGUAUGACGCUAAUAUGUCAUGAUUCUACUAGGAAACUUGCAAACGUAACUUGUUCACUCUGUGCGGAACAUGAAAUAGCCUCAUUUGAUCAGUUGAUUAACAUAGAACAUGCGAUUACGAAUAUGAAGUCAAUCUUACAAAUAAUUGAGCUUUGAAAUGAAGACUAUAUAAAUCUAUUUUCAAUUGAGCUUGAGAUGGGGCCUUUUACGCGUAUAUAGAAACUAAAUGUUAAAAAGCUAAAGGUCGUGGAGACUAACGAACAAUUGAACUCUCAUAUGGCGGCACUCCAGAUCAAAACGGAUGAAAGUUCAUCAACUAACUUCGGCUAAAACAUUGUUGAUUUUUCUUCUUUCGCACAGGGAAAGGAAAAAAAAGGUCUCUAACAUCAAAAUUCAUUCAGGGGUCACUUGUAAACAAUAACUUGUUAAAGCAAGCAGCAAACUCAGAAGAUAACUACAUGACAUGUUUUCAAAUUCAAAACCCAAGAAAUUACUAGUUCAACGAAAGUAAUUAGUCCCUUGCUGCAAUCCAUUAAGGUUUUUGGACUUAGAGCCAUUCUCAUGCAGGUGCUACUCAUGGUCUCAAUCACUAAUAACAUCCAUGCUGUACACUAAGGCAUGGGAGCACAUAAAUAAUUUGAAUUUUUUUAUUUGUAGGGUCUUGGUAAUUAGUUAAUCUUUUUGGGCAACGACUUCGGAAGUCAAGUUUUCUCCUAUCAAGGAGUUAUCUGAUGAAGCCUCAUUGAUGAAAAAAAAAAAAAAUCAUGGCCUAGCUAGUUAAGAUUCCAAACAGAAAAAUCAGUGAUAAAUGAUUUGAAAUUCAAGAACUGUAGAUACUCAAUGCAGAGAGUGGAAAUUCACACAAAACAACCUAUAUUCCAGCUAUUAAAACAUCAAAUUAGAAAUAAAAAAUUAGACUGAGGAGAGGGAAGCUACGUACAUAUUUACUCUACCUCUUGGAACGAAAUUGAGGGCUGCGCGCUUAAGGUGGAGGAUGGACCCAUCCUCGAUACUGUAGUCCGCCAGAGAUUUGCCCCUCUCCAGUAGUUGGCCGUUGAAAUAAAGCGCAGUUGCUGCCUGCCAAGUUGGAAGAACGGAGACUAGAACGGUGACUAGAACAUCUUGGAUGGUGUUAGAGCUGUCCACCUCAAGCGCAUAAUUUCCAUAAUGUUCUGACUGCACAAAGAUUUUCAUUUCACCAUCUCCGUCGGGUCUCAUAGAAGAGCUAGACUCUGCACAGUUCAUCUUGGCUAUUUCUGUAGGACUAGUGAAGUUGCAUAUGUAAUACAUGUUAGUUUCUUUGUAAUAGAAUUUCACAAAGAUCCUAAGAUAUUUCUUGUACCAGUGCAUGCAUAUAUAACAAACAUUAAUAUUACUUCGGCAAAAAAGAAAAAUUAAGUUACAAAUUUGAUGGCUUUUGUCACAUGUAAAAGAGAUACAGGAUAAUUUGUUUAAAUUUUCUUCUUUCUUUUUUUUUUUCCUCUAGCCAUCUUAUCGAGCUGAUAUUCAGUUUCUGAUGGAAAUAAUCAAAAAAAUUCCUUCCCUUUUUUUUCUCUUUUCAAAAAUAAACUAAGUUUUUCUUCGUAUACUAAGUUAAAGCUUUUACUAAAAUACAUAUAUAGAUAUAGGGCCCGUUUGCCCUAAAUUCUGAAAAAGUAAUUUCUGCAGAAUUAAAUUUGAUUUUGAAAAUUAAUUUUGCUUAAAAAUUGUAAAGGGUCUGGCUAAGUUUAGAUAGAAAUCAUUUUUUCUAAAAAAAUUUUAUAAAUCUAUUUGGUAAAUUUUUCUUUUUUUCUGUUUGCGAAUAAUCGGAUAGAAGAGUUUAUGCAUCUAACACAAUAGGGCGGACGAGGACUACAUCUAGGAUAGAAGAGUAGCUCUCAGUUUUAUGUCUUAAUUAAUUUGUUGGCUUCAUGACCAUUCAAUUCAUCACGAUGUUAAAGAAAGUUACAAUUCAAGAAACUCAUGCGAAGUAGACAUGUAGUUGAAUCUCUUUGCUUGCAACGAGAAUGUAAUUUCCAUCUUUAGGUAAGAUCUUUAAAUCUGGGCCUAAAAUUAAUCAUAACCAAACCAAUUUAAAACCAUUUGGAAUCAAAAUCUAAGUUACUUAAUUUCAAAACAGAAAGGGAAGCAUACUCAUAACUAUGUGCCAACACCCGCGGAGUGCACUUCAGCUGAAGCACGGAGCCGAGAUUGAUUCCGUACUCGGCCAGGGUUUUCUGCUUCUCCAAUUCCAAGUCAUUGAAACAAAGCCUCGGCUCUGGCGCUUGCGCUGCCCUGUUGAGGCCGAGAAUCUCGACCAGCACAUCCUCGACGGUGUUAUCGCCGUCCGCUAGAAGAACAUAGUUAUGGACGGCGCCCAACUGCACAACGAUCUCCAUCUCGCUUGCGAAUUCAGGUUCCCCGACGGAGUCCCAUGGUUGCAUGUUGGAAUUCGACAGUUCCGCGACGGAGGCCGGCAACUCUACAGAAUCCGCCAUCUCCAGCGUUCCUAUAUAUAUAUAUAUACGACUAAACCAAUUAAGCAACAACAAUUGCAAUAUCAUGUUCGCAUGCAAACAUUGUAAAUCACUGUGAUAAUAAUAGUAGUUAGUACCUUCUACGAGGAAGAAGAAGAAUAGUCGUGUGAUGUUCCAAUAGUUUAACACACAAAAGAAAUUGCAUACGGAACUCACAUUAUGUGUAAUUGGGGUCCGACACGUUUACUUGGCUCGCUGUUACAAUUCUCUCGCUGAAGCUUCCUUCUCUCUGGCAUGCGACUAUUCUAUUUUCUGCACGUGGAAGGUUAGGAUAAAUUUAGAUCGAGUCCACGGAGUAGCGUAGGUUUGGACAAAAUUAGAUAAGAGUCUGACUUAGAAUUUGGUGAAAUGCAAAUAUGAAUGUCAAAAUUUAGCAUUUUUCAAUAUAUAUUUGUACUCGAAUUCAUAUUCAAAAAAAUAUAUAAAUAUGGAUACACCCUAUGAAAUAAUUAUUUAUUUUAGUAAAAUUAUAGCUGCGAGAAUUAUAUAAUAUAUAUUAAGUAAAUCUGUAAAGAGAGAUAAUAUAUUUAAAUCUUGAAGUUAAAGUAUCGUUGAUUGACUCAAAUCAAACAAAGUUAAAAAUACGUUGGAUAAUAAAAUCAAAUUUUUGAAAGAUUGAUUAACCAAAUGAAAAUGGUUCAUAGUUCAGACAAAUUUUUAUAUUAAUUUUGUAAGUAAAAAUAUACGAAACUUAUCUAAAUUGUAGAUUAUUUUGAGUUGGUUUACCCAAUCUUUCAAAAUUUUAAUUUUACUAUCUAAUAUUUCAAUUUGUUAGAUUUGAGUCACUAAUAGUAUUUUAAUUUCAAAAUUUGAAUGUAUUAUUUAUCUUUAUAAGUUUAGUUGGUAUAUCUCAUACAAUUUUUACAAUUAUAAAUUUAUUAAAGUAAAUAAUUAGCUUAAAUUUUGAAGUCAAAAGGCCGUUGAUUGGCUCACAUUAAGCAAAUUAAGAGAUUUGAUAGUAAAAUUUAAACUUUAAAAAGGUUAGAUAGUCGAUUUAAAAUAAUAUAUAAUUUAGACAAAUUUCGUUUGUUUUUAUCUUUUUUUUGUCUAUACUUCAUCCAAGGAUAACAAUGGAACGGUGCAGUGUUGUCAACGGAAAUAAAAAUGGAGUGCUAUUGAUUGUGAGAAGUGGGCCUUAGAUGGCUCAGUGAAGUUUCUCGUUAAGACCUUGGAGAUGUGGGUUGAGUGUAGACCUGGCAACGGGCGGAUUGGGUAACCCGUGGACGAGUUAUUAUAUCCGCUGGUUACUUGUAAAAUUUACUCGCAAAUUUUUGAAUAGCCAACAUCUUUAUCCAUACUCACCCACGGGUGGGCGGGUGGGUAUACGGGUUAUCCACAAUUUUUUUUUUUUGCUUUUAUUUUUUUAAAAUGCAAAAUAUAUAUAUUAGUUUAAAAAGCGUAAUAUAAUCUCAUUAUUUGAAAUAUCAUAACAUACAAUAAAAAUAUUUAAAGUCUUAAAGCAAAAAUAUUUUAUAAUAUAAAAGAUACGCAAUAAGAAUUUGGAUUAGAAUUUUUAGGAUAGGUAAAUAAAAAAUAUAUAUUAAUUAAGAAAAUAUAUUUUGUAAUUAAAAAAUAUAUGUGCGGGUACCCAUGGGUACCCGCGGGUUACGCAAAAUGCCCACUGCUUAAUGGAUACCCACCUGUUUUACCCGUAAUUUUUUGGGUUGGAAAAGUUGGUAUCCAUACCCAUAAAUUUAUGGGUAACCUGCAGGUACCUGUGGGUUUUGGUCAAAAUUGCCAGGUCUAGUUGAGUGAAUAGGAGCUCUCAACAAGUCCUUUUGAAGGUGUCCAAUUUACGAAGAACUUAAAAGAGUCGGAUUCUCUUUGAUAGUGUUUGGUUCGGGAACAAGGGGGGGAAUAAGCCCUUGUUCCCCCCUUUGUUCCCAAACGCAAUGUUUGGUUCCCGGAAGCUUAAAUUUUCUUCUUUUUUUUUUUUUUUUUUCCUCUAGCCAUCUUAUUGAGCUGAUAUUCGGUUUCUGAUAGAAAUAAUCAAAAAAAUUCCUCCCCCGCACCCCCUCCUUUUUCUUUUUUUCCACUUUUCAAGAAAUAAGACAAAGUUUCUCUUCAUACUAAGUUAAAAGCCUUUUACUAAGAUACAUAUAUCGAUAUAGGGCCGUUUGUCCUAAAUUCUGAAAAAUUAAUUUUACAAAAUUAAUUUUGAUUUUGAGAAUUAAUUUUGCUUAAAGUUGUAGAGGGUCUGGCUAAGUUUAGAUAAAAAGUAAUUUUUUUAAAAUGAUUUUGUAAAUCUAUUUGAUAAUUUUUUUUUUCUAUUUGCAAAUAAUAGGAUAGAAAAGUUUAUGCAUCUAACACAAUAGGACGGACGAGGACUACAUCUAGGAUAGAAGAACGCAACUAAAGUUUACCCAAAUUUAACCAAACCAAUACUAAUUAAAAUCCGGGUCUAAAUUUCUAGAAUGGAUUUCUCCCUUUAAUGUAAGAGCAACGUUCGUUUCUCUAAGUUGAUGUACAGAUGAAGCGUACUCAAAGAACUUAACAUUGAAAGAAAUUGUAUAACUUACCAGUACUUCGGUUGUUUAAUUAACUCUGUAUUUAUUUUGACUCUCGAUGAGAAGAUAGGAUCUACAUCAGGAGCAGGCAGGAUAACACAAUCUACGUAUUUGAAAAGAUAGGAUAAUNUGUUCCUUGGCGACAAUAACGAAGGCGGGGCCGUCUCCUCUUCCUCCGCCUCUGUCACAUCCCGGGCCCAAGUGGAAGCUUAUCCGGCACGUGUACAGACCCGUUGUGCGCACAAGGCACCCCUGGUGCACACAAUGCGUCUAUCACAAAACAUAUAACAGAGAAGGAAUGAGAGAGAUAAUAAGGAAAUAAACCUAUCAUGGUAAUCAGAGCAUAAGUACUAACAAAACACUAAAGCAACAAUCCAAUAGAGGAAAUAACGAGUUACUACAACAAAAGGGUACAACUAUUAUAAGAUAUACAUAAGUUGAUAAAAGAAGAAAUACAUCUCAGAACAUAUGGUAGUUUCUAUACAAAAUGGUCGGGUACACCCUUCGGGACAAAACAAAGAAAGGUGACCACCUAAGCAAAAAACUUCCAAAAAGGCUCUAGCUAGUCGCAACUCCCUUACCGCGGUCCUUACACAUGUGCUACAGGAAGCUGAAAACAAGAUUCACCUUACACGAGAGCGACUGAUCUCGGCUCAGAGUAGACAAAAAAGCUAUGCUGAUAAGUGUCGGCGAGAAUUGGAAUUCCUAAUAAGAGAUCAUGCCUUUUUGAAGGUCUCACCGACGAAAGGGAUUAAGAGAUUUGGUAUUCGAGGAAAGUUAAGUUCUCGAUUUGUUGGACCUUUUCAGAUCUUGGAGCAUGUAGACCCAGUAGCAUAUCGGCUUGCUUUGCUGCCGAACCUAUCGGGAAUACAUAAUGUGUUUCAUGUUUCCACGCUUUAGAAGUACUUUUUGACCUAGCUCACAUUUUGAACUCCACUCUAUUAGAGUUGACGAGGACUUGAGCUUUGAGGAGCAUCCUGUGAUGAUUUUGGCUCAUGAGGUGAAGAAACUUCAUAAUCAUGAAAUUCCCUAUGUGAAGGUAAUUUGGAGCAACCAUAACAAGCGCGAGGCUACUUAGGAGUUGGAGAGUGUGCUGUAGGAGCGUUAUCCCCAUCUUUUCCAGAUAGAUUCUUAGGUACUCAACUUUUAGUUUCGCGGAGGAAGCUCCUUUUUAGGAGAGUAGAGUGUAGCACACCGAACUUUAGUAAAUUGCAAUGUUCCAGUGUAGGAAUAGUGCUUUGAGCUAUUCUGAAAGUUUUGAAGGUUGUUUGGAAUGUUUUGGGCUGUUUUCGGAGCUAGUUAGGCACGAGAACAGGUUCCCGACAUCAAAACUUGCAUAUUGCAGAUUUUGGUGUUGAGUACCGGUACUGGAUUGAGGUACCGGAACUCAGUAGAGUGCCGAAAUGGACAGCUCUCGGAUUUUGCAGAAUCUAGCUGUGUGUACCGGUACUCAAUGCUGCAAAACCUAAUUUCGUGCAGUAUACUAUUUUUGGGUUUUUGAGGGGCCUGAUGAAAAUUGUUACAUUAUGUAGUAUAACCCCUCAUCCCCCUCACUUGUUCACUUUUGGGCUGAGGUUAGAGAAAGGAGAAGGUGAGUGCUCUCUCUCUUGGAUUUCUUCCUCCUAAUCCCUAAAAUCCUUGGAUUUGAUCUCUUCUUCUCAAUCUUCUAUAUUGAAGUUUGCUGCUUGGACCUUGAAGGGAGCUUGGGAGUGAAGAAAGGAGCCUGUUUGAGCAUUCAACUCCAACCUAGCAUUUUUAGCUUGGUUGGAGUUUUUGUUGAGAUUAGUAGUCUUUUUAAAUCCUCUAAUUGUGAGUUUUGUAAGAAUUUUGGAAUAAAACCUAGUUUUAAGGAAACUAUGAUUUAUUUUGGGAUUUCUUGAUUUGAAUUUUUUAGGUUAAAUUGCUGGGUGUUGAACCCUUUCUUAAGUUGGAUUUGAAGCCUUCUGACUUUGGUUUGGAUCUUGGACAAGUUCUACUUGAUCAAAGGUAUUUUUCACCUAUUUUUCUAUUGAAUUUUUGGUGAAUUUCGUUGUAAACUUUUUAGAACCUUGUAAUCCUUUGAAAAUUUUUCUUAGGAUGUUAGGAGUCUAAGAGAUAACUUCGUUUGGUGAAACGAAUAAGUAUCGAAUAAUAUCCGGUGAGUUUGACCUUACCGAAAUGGAUAAACUCUUCCUAUAUCUCCUAUAUUGCUAUAGGAUUUAAAUUGAUGCAUAUUCAUGCUAUUCAUGACUAGGGGUGUAAACGAGCCGAACACAAGCGAGCUGGGGUCGGCUCGUGUUCGGCUCGUUUAUUAAAUGAGCCGAACACGAGCUGACUCGUUAAAGUAUCGAGCCGAAAAAUCCAGCUCGUGUUAACUGGCCCACGAGCUGGCCAACAAACUUUGAUAAAUUAAAAAGAAUGAAAUCGAAAAGAUAUAAAAAAUAAAUUUAUAAAAACUUCAAGUCAUAUAGAUCAUGAUCUAACAGUGAAAAUCGUACAUAUGAAAGCUCAAUUUUUCGAAAACAAAUGGCUCGCAUACAGAUGCCUAGUUUGCUAAAAAUAAAAUAAUAAAAAAACACAUUAUAUAUAAUUAUUUAUUUAUAUAUAAAAAUAUAAAUUAAAUAAAUUAUAUAAAUAUAAAAUAUAUGUAUUCGAGUUAUUAUCGAGCCGAAUAGGAGCGAGCUGACCCCGGCUCGUGUUCGGCUCGUUUACUAAACGAGCGAUUCGAUCUCGAGCUCAUUUCGAGCCGAACACGAGCUGGCUUGCGAACACGCGAGCUGGAUUGCCACCCCUACUUAAUUCCAAACAAAAAGGGAACAAAAAGGGAAUAAAUCAUACUCAUAGGUGUGUGCCAACACCCGCGGCGUGCACUUCAGAUGAAGCAUGCAGCCGAGUUCGAUUCCGUAUUCGGCCAGGGUUUUCUGCUUCUGCAACUCCAGGUCAUUGAAAAAAAGCCGCGGCUCCGGCGCUCGGCCCGCCCUGUCGCUGCCGAGAAUCUUGACCAGCACGUCCUCAACAGUGUUACGGCAGCACACUAGGAGAUGGUAGUUGUGGGUAGCGUCGGACUGCACAGUGAUCUUCAUCUCACUGGCGAACUGAUCAGGUUCCCCGGCGGAGUCCCACUUGGAGUUCCACAGUUCCGCGACGGAGGCCGGCAGCUCUGCAGUAUAUAAAUGACUAAACCAAUUAAGCAACAACAAUUGCAAUAUCAUGAUGUUCACAUGCAAACAUUGUAAAUCGCUGUAAUAAUAAUAAUAGUAGUUAGUACCUUCUUAUAUAUGGAUCAAUUAAUUAAUUACAGCGAGUCAAAGUAUCACAGGCCACAGCAACUCCGAGAGAGAAAGAGAGAUACACAAAAAUAAUAGAAAGAAGAGGGAGGAUUUAUAGAAAUAAGAGGACUUAGUGAGAAAGAAGAAGAAUAGUUGUGACGUUCCAAGAAAUUGUUCGUACGGAUCUCACAAUGUGUGUAAUUGGGCCCGACGAAAACGCGUUUACUUGAUUCACUGUUAUUUCUCUCUCUGGAAGCUUCCCACCUCUUUCUGGAGUACUACUUUUUUCUUUUCUUUUCUUUUCUUUUCUUUUCUUUUCUUUUCUUUUCUUUUCUUUUCUUUUCUUUUCUUUUCUUUUUUUUUUUAAAAAAAAAAUAGCAAACCAACAAAAACAACAAAAACGUACAGAGAAAAAAAGACAGCAACUCCGAGAGAGCUGACAUUCACUGUUAUUUCUCUCUCUAAAAGCAGCAUGAGCUUGAGAACAGAGCCAGAAAAACACGAAACAAAACAAAACAACAAAAACAGAGAGAAAAAGAAGAGUAGAGGAACAGAGAGAAAGGAGAGAAGGAGCAGGAGGAUAAAUUUUCUUUUUUUCUUUUUUUUUUUCAGCAAGUGGUAGUCGUAGGUUGGAAUAAAUUUAGAUCGAGUCCACACGGAGGCGUAGGUUAGGAUAAAAUUAGAUGAGUCUGAAGUAGAAUUUGAUGGAAUGCAAAUAUGGAUGCCAAUAUGGGGACUCAUCUGUAAAAAAUUAGGAAGCUCCUAUUUAAUUUACCUUUUUCUAUAAUCUCUUGUUAAAUAUAAAAAUAUUUAAACACCGUUCUCUAACAGUUUAAGCUUUUAGAGUACAACGAUUGUUUCACAUGGUAUCAGAGCAGGAGAUCCUGAGUUCGAGUCACGCCAGGCUCCUAGCAUAUUAAUUUCCUCCCAUUUAAUUCAAGCCCACGUCAUGGGACCCAGACGUGAGGGGGAGUGUUAAAUAUAAAAAUAUUUAAACACUAUUCUCUAACAGCUUAACCUUUUAGAGUACAACGGUUGUUUCACAUCUCUCUCCAAGAUACCCGAUCGCAUAAGAUGUUUACGCACCAUAUAAAUUCUAUAAAUCUACUAUUCUAUACAUAACCUUAUCGUGCGGACGCAUUCGUAUACGGAUGAAUUAUGAUUAGAUGAAUUAUGGUUAGAAAAUUAUUUAUGUACUUAUAUCAAGAUCAGUACUGUUGAUCUUAAUUUGAAGUAUUCUAUUUUCUUUUUUUAUAAGGUUUUUAAAUUUGAACCAUUCAUUUUGUGGCAGCAUGACGCACUUGACAAUGAUAUUAUAAAAAAAAAUUAUGAACUUUCAAUUCCUAACAACUUAGAAAAUCUUAGAUUACGCUUAAUGGUGUGAAUUACUGAUUCAAAAGUUCUAUUAUCGAAAAUAAGACUAUAACACAAAAUACUUUGUGCCGUUAAUAUAACGCUAGCUUAGCUUUAUGCUUUAAUUUUCAAAACUUUUGAGAGAAUUCACAUCUUCAAAGUCCACUAAUAAAAGAAGAAUUUUAAAAAUUCAUCAAGUAAAUUCAAGAUAUUAAUCAUUUUCCAGGACCAAAGGGCCAAUCAUCUCUUCGAAUAAAAAACAACUAAAGAAGAAACAAAUCCUUCACAUAACUAUGCUCCAUCAAAAUAAUUAACAAACACUAAUUUAACUUGAAAACUUAAUAUAAAUUUUUUGCUUAUAUUAUUCUUUGAAGAGUGCCUCUUUAAUCAUGGUUACAAUAUGUGAACUAUGGUAUGUACAAUAUAUUUGUGAUAUGAUUUGAUAUAGCAACCUACUAAGUUUUUUUUUUGAGAAAGAGGUAGCGAGCUAUCUGCUUCAUUCAUCAAGCAAAAUGAACUAAGCGUACAUGAUGAAAGCAGCUAAGGCCUCCUAUGAAGCGGAAAAAAAUAGAAAAUGAACAAGGAAGGAAAAAUAGAGCUAUAGGAGAAAGCUAUAGAGCUAGGACAGGUGAUGCGGAAACACAAAAGAGAGAUAUCCGGAAGAAAAAGAAAGGGAUCACAGGUCGUUCCCGGCAUUCAUCAAGGCAAGAACGUCCAGUCGUUCGUCAUCAAGCAACCUACUAAGUUACAAUCCAUUUGGAUGUAUAUGGUGGCUAAUAACAUAAUCAUAAUAGGACCAUCAGAUAACAUCAUAUAGUAGGUACUAAGAUGAUGCACAAUUAAAUUAAUGAGAAAUGACAUUCAAUAAAGUUGAAAUCAUUCUCAUGUUUACUUUGUGUGCAUAAUAGUCAAGUAACACAUUUUCAAAUAAUUGUUUGCUUUAUUACAGUUACAAUGCACAUUCAGAGUUUGUAGAUGACAAUGAACAAAAUGUAUGAAAAUAUAGUGUUGUUGUUCUUCUCCAAAAAGCUCUGCUUCGGGUUUUGCCUGCGCGAAUGCCCAAAUAGUUUGAAUCAAUUCAAGUAUAAAAAAGGAUCGAUAGUGUUGGAUAAAGAAUAAUAAUAAUAAUAAAUACGGUUAGUAUACCUUAAUAUAUCAAUUCCAUUCAUUAUCUGUAGCAAUUACUACGUGACGUUGGUAAUCCCACCUACGUGUUGGUUGUUGCUCGAUGUUGUUCACCGUUUCAUAUUCGGUUGUGUAAAAGCUCAACCGGUCUUUCAAAUCUUCAACUUCAUAAUUCGACGCUGUUGCCUUGCUGAAUCUAGCCACUAUGUUAUGCAAAGCAUCCAUUUUAAAGCCUUACCCGUCUCUCCCGCCAUUAUGCACAUGUUUUACCAUCAAAUCAAGCAGUGCUUUGGGGUAGCGUUCUUCAGCCAAAUUGCUAAAAGGUUGGUUUCCUCUUUUGAUGGUUAAUUCAUUGUAGUAUUAUUUUUGUCAGCUCUCUAUUCUGCAAGUGAAAUAAAACAAGAAUAUCCUAGAAAUACUUUUAGGGUGCGUUUGGUUCGCAUUAUGAAAGAUUACUAGGAAGGAAAAGAUGUCCGAGAAUCUUAUUCCUAUUCAUCAUAUUACUAAGAAUGUGGAAUUCCUGUGUUUGGUUCGCAUGGUCAUAUUAUUUAGCCAUGUUAUUUAAGAUUACAAAAAAUAUACAAUUAAUUAAUUUAUUUUUUAAAUUAAUUUUAGAUAAUCUACCAAAAAUUUCAACAUUUUUUUAGAAAAAAGGAAGAGAGAGCAUAGGUUAGAAAGAGAGAGCAUAAUUAAAAAAAUAGUAAGAGAAAUAGAGUCGAAAUUAGAGGGAGUGAGAGAGUUGAGAUUUUAGAAAAAGAGGGAGAGAGAAAGCUUAGUAAGAGAGAAAAAGAGUUAAAUUUUAGAGAGAAAGAUAAGUUUAGAGAGAGAUGUGAGAUUAUAGUAUGAAGAAAAAUAAUACCAAUUAGCCGACGGAUAGGGAGAAAGAAAGAGAUUAGACAUAUUAUGAUUACCCCAAUCCAUAUUAUAGGAUACCCACCCUUUCUCAAGAGAAUGAGAUUAGUACUUUGGGAUGAAUCUUAUUCCCAAGUAAAUCCAAUAUUACUAACUAGAUUACUUAGUGCGUUUAACCAAACACCGUCAUAUUUUUUUAUUCCUAUUGGAUUACUAGGAAUCUUUAAAAGAUAGCGCGAAUCAAACGCACCCUUAAACUAAAAUAACAGAGAAUAAUGAUGAUUGAAAAUAGUAGAAAAUCGUAAUCAUAGAACAUCAUUGUGGACGGCGUUUCGACUGCAUGCACAGUGAUCUCCAUCUCACUGGCAAAGUCAAGUUCCACAACGGAGUCCGGCGGCUCUACACAAUCCAUCUCCACCAACUCUAUAUGGACACAUUGUGUUGUUCAAAUAAUCACAUUCAAUAUAGAAAAUCUAGUGACUUACGAAAUCAUUGAGGGAGCAUUAAUAUAAGCUUACACUAAUGAUAGAUGCUAACAUAAAUACAUAUUUAAAUAGAUCAGAAGUGGCAUGCGCAAAAUAUAGUGUAACAAUGUUUGCCUCGGUCAAGAGGCGAGAUUAUUGUGAGAAUGUUGAGAUCUCAUAGCUAGAGAACGAAGAGAUUACAACACUAUUUUUAUUUCAAGAGAGUCACUCAUAGGAAAUCACGAUAUUUUAUUUUUUUUUCUCGACAAACACACUUUCAUAUAAAUUAAUAUACGGUACUUUUCUGCUUCGAUAGUCCUUCGCACUAGGAUUUUCCUGUGAAAAAGGAGAAAGGUUUGAAUAAAUUGGAAUUAAGUACUAAACACUUCGAAAAGCAAUGUGGUAGUAUACCUGAAUAUACUUAUUCCAUGCAGCAUCUGUGGCAAUUACUACUUGAUGUUGAUGAUCCCACCUAAACUCCGGACGAUUCUUGAUUUUUCCCACUAUUCCAUAUUCACGUUUAUAAAUCUCGAAGCGAGCAUGCAAAUGUUUUUCUUCAUAUUUCAUGCCUGUUGCUUUAUUGAACUCGGUUACUAUAUCACGCCAGGAAUUAUUUUUAUAGUCUAGUAUUUUUCUCCCUCUUGAUUGAAUUUGCUUUACCAAUAAAUCAAGCAGUAUUAGAUCAUGCUUUUCUUCCCAUAUUACUGAAGGGCGAUACGUUAUUUUAAAGUAUCUCCAAAUUGGCUAUCGUACAAUUGUCACUUCCCCCCCACUCGCCGCGACCUCUUCGCCAGCCAAGGCGGCCGCCUUGUCCGUUGAAUAUUCUGCGGCCCCUCCCCUCGCCGCAUCCGCCUCUUUGGCCGGCGAACGGGUGUCCGUUGACGUCUCGGGUGGCGGGUCGUUUAAAUUUUCAAACCUCUCCGCUGUCCCCGCAUCCCUAGACAACGGUGACAUCAGGGCUGCAGACUGCCGCCUUCAGCUUUCACGCCCCCCUUUCGCCAGCUGUUUUGCUAACGCCUUUUUGGCCCCUGUACCCGCGAAGGGAAGCUUCGUAUCUCUAUCCCAGGGAUCCCUUCUGGCAGAAUUAGACAAAAGGAGCUCUGGGGGGAUUUUCUUCUCCCUCGGGAACCGGCGGAGUUUCUUCCUACGAUUCUCUACAUCCUUCUCGUUUUCUGUGCGGCCCCCCUCCAAACUAGUUGUCGGAUCUCUCGGAUCCCUCCUUCUGCAUGCUUCCUUCGGGUCGGAUGUGUGGUUCGGAUCCGCAAACCUUCUCUCCUGCCACCUGGGACCCAAUUGGACCCUUAUCCGGCGCCCUGGGCCAGACCUAAGCUCGGGCGGGCUUUCUGCGUCCACUAAUGCCCCAUGCUGGCUCCCACCCUCCUGGUGCUUGGGCUUGGGCCGCGGCUCGGGCCCGGGCUCGGCCACGGGCGGCCUGGACGCAGGCAUCGUAAUGGACUUGGGCGUGGGCUUCGGUGUCGACUUGGGUGCCGGGUCGGGUGCGGCCCUGCGCUCAGGCUCGGACGUGGGCUUGGAGGAGGGCUUCGACGAGGUCUUGUCUGCGGGCCUGGAACCGGACCGGGGCGAGGGCUUGGGUGCAGGCCCAGACGAGGAUUUGGAGACACGACUGGGCGCGAGCUCGGCCGACGACUUGGGCGCGGGAUCACCCACGGGCCUGGGCGCCUUUAAGGCUCCAAGCGACCUUGCGGGAGGUUUUGGACCGGUCGAGCUCGAGCGCCCUGAGGUGGCGCGCGGGGACAGCGGAGGCAGCGGAGGGGCGGCGUCGGAAGGCGGAGGCAGAGGAAGCGGUGGGGGUGAGGGUGUUCUUGGAGGCGGCGAAGAAGACGGAGAGAGGAGAAUGGGGGCUAUGGGUUUUACGGUUCGGGACGGAGGGGUGCGGGGUCUUGUAGUUGGAGACGUCGCGGAAGAUGUGGCCGCAGCCUGGGCCGUCGGGUCGGGCGUAGAGGGAGCAAGCUUCGCCAUGGGCAUGGGCGCAGACUGCGGCGCCGGGUCGGGCUCGGCCUUGGGAGCGGGCUCGGCCUCCAUCGUGGACUCGGGCGCAGAGUUUGGCGCCGGCUUGGGCGUGGCGUCGGGCUUCGAGGCGGGCCGGGGCGCGGCCUUGGCCGUGGGCUUGGGCGCAGACUUGGGCGCCGGCUUGGGCCAAGCCUUCAAGCCCAAGGGACCUUGCGGGCCGGGGCGCUUGGGGGCGGGCUCGGCCGACGGCCUAGGCGCGGGCUCGCCUGCGGGCCUGGGCACAGGCUUUCCAACCUGCAGCACCCACCUGGCCUUGAUUUCCACUUGCAGCCACCCUCCCAACUUGGACCGUCCCACCUCGGAUCCACCCAGAUCUAGCGGAAGAGUCCGCAGCCAGUUUCCUGGCUCUGUUUUACGCAAGGCCAUGCUCAGAAAGGCGCAACUACUCGAAGGCGACCCAGCUAUUCCCAGUCACUCUACGCGCAAAUGGUCCAAGAAAAAAGUUAAGGCGAAAGGUCUUCGCUGCGGGGUGGACCUUCAUGAAGAGGCCGUUAAGGACUUCCUUGAGUUCCUGAGUGGGAAGGCCUAGGAGCGGCUGGAGGAGCCGCGGGUGUUGUGUUUCGUGUGUCUUUCCUUUCUGAUGUUUAACAUUUUGUGUUGGAAUGUUCGGGGUCUCAACGACCCCUCUAAGCGCCGUUGUGUCAAGUCUGUUGUCUCCAGUCGUGUUCGUUCUGUCAUCUGUCUCCAAGAAUCUAAAGUGGAUAGUGUGUCUCGCUCUUUUCUUCGCUCUUGCUGCGGAUCUGCUUUUGAUAGAAGCCACUUUAUUCCUGCAUCUGGGGCUUCUGGUGGGCUCAUCACUUGUUGGAGCUCCAAAUUCUUCUCUUGUAGCGAGGUUAUCGUGAGAAAGCACUCUCUCACUCUCCAUCUAUCUUGUCUCAAGAGUAAAAAGCAUUUCUUCCUCACGAACGUCUACGGGCCAUCUACCUGGGACGGCAAGGAUGAAUUCUGUCUCGAGCUUCUCUCUUUACGCGGGGUUUGCACUUCCAACUGGGUGAUCUGCGGAGAUUUUAACUUUACCAAAAAUCAAUCUUAACGAAAGGGAAACCUCUGGAGCUCUAAGGCGAUGGCUAUGUUCUCUGAUCUGAUUUCCAACUUAGCGGUCAUAGAUCUCCCUCUGUCCAACCAAAGCUUCACUUGGUCGAACAUGCAACGCAGACCCACACUGGCAAAACUAGACAGGUUCCUCGUUUCAACUGAAUGGGACCAAUCUUUUCCUCACAGCAAGGUCAAAGCCCUCCCUAGGAUCACUUCCGAUCACGCACCGAUCAUCUUAUCCACCGAAGCGCAACUCAUACCCAGACGAUUCCGAUUCGAAAGGGUUUGGCUCACUAAAGAAGAUUUCCACUCGAAGGUGCCAAUCUGGUGGAAUGAAAUUGCUGACAAGAAUUCGGGUAUCCUCACAAUUACUGCCAAACUCAGACACUGCCGAACCAGAAUUAAAGAAUGGUGUAAGACGAGUUUCUAUAGCAUAUCGCUCUCGAAGAAGAUUUUAGAGGACGAACUGCAUGACAUUGAUCUCUUAGAAGAACAACACGACCUCCCCCAAGAUCUAAUAGACAAGCGAGCCAAUCUCAAACGUCAUCUACUCUCUAUCUUGGGGGAGGAAGAAAUCCUUUGGAAAACUAGGGCCAAACAACAAUGGCUAAAGGAAGGCGACUCCAACACUAAAUUUUUUCAUGCAGUGGCUAACGGGCGAAAACGCUCCAACUCGAUUGAUGUGAUUGAAGACAACUACGGGAGAGAAAUCACCAACGAAGCUACCAAACGGUCAUUCUUCCUGCAAGCUUUUAAACAACGGUUUGGACAAGCAGACGACAGAGCGAUAUCUUAUGGGGAUUGGAGUAACCUUUACCUCUCUAAUAGACUGCACAAUGCUGACUCCCUUACGUCCCCCUUCACAAUCGAGGAAAUCAAAACCGCCACCUUCCAACUUGGAAGCGACAAGGCCCCGGGACCAGACGGCUUCCCCCUCUCCUUCUUCCAAACUUUCUGGGAGACUGUCAAAACGGAUAUUUUAAAAGUUUUCACUGACUUGCAAGAUAAUAAUCUCUUCACCGGCCCCUCAGACUACUCACUUCUUUGCCUAAUCCCGAAGAAAGAAGGAGCACGCAAGGCCAACGACUUUCGUCCAAUUAGCCUUAUCAAUAGCAUUCAAAAAAUCAUUUCCAAAGUCCUGGCUAACAGACUAGCCCCCACCCUGUCAUCUAUUAUCUCACCAACUCAAUCGGCUUUUCUCAAAGACCGGUUGCUGAUGGACUCGUUCGUAACAGCAAGUGAACUAAUUAACUGGUGUUCGAAGACUGGAAAGGAAUGUGUAUGCAUUAAAGCGGACUUUGAAAAGGCCUUUGACAACGUACGCUGGGACUUCCUGAAAAGCAUUUUGCACUGGCUUGGUUUCAACGACAAAUGGUGGGCAUGGGUUGAGCAGUGCAUCUGCAACGCCAAAGUAGCCAUUUUAGUCAACGACACCCCGACUGAUUGGUUUAAGAUGAGAAAGGGUCUUAGACAGGGCGACCCCCUCUCGCCCUACCUCUUUAUUUUGGUGGCUGACUGCUUAGCUAGAUUGACUGAUACUGCAAGGAAUAACAACCUUCUCCGUGGUAUUGGACCGUCCACUGAUUGUCAAACUACGCUGAUUCAAUACGCGGACGACACAAUUUUCUUCUCCGAGCCUAGAAAACACUUAAUGCGAAACCUACAGUUUAUUUGGUAUAUCUUCGAGUGGGCUUCAGGUCUGAAAAUCAACAUGGACAAAUCAGACCUGUAUUAUCUGGGCCCUAACCCCCAAAGAGCCAACAGACUUGCUAACAUCCUUGGAUGUAAAGUUGGGAAACUCCCGUUCCGCUACCUCGGUCUACCGCUUUAUAAUAAACACCUACGAACGGAAGAUUGGGCUCCGGUCAUUGAUCGCAUAUCAGCAAGAAUCGAGGGGUGGAAAGCCAAACUCCUAUCCUAUGGGGGUAGACUCACGCUCGUCAACUCGGUUCUCACUAACUUGCCGCUAUUUUAUUUCUCCAUCUACAAAGCGCCGCAAUGGGUUUUACACAGGAUCGAAUCACUUAGAAGAUCUUUCUUCUGGAAAGGCUGCGCUAGCAUCUCUGGAGGAGCCUGUCUUGUCAGUUGGAAGUCCAUCUGUAAAAGUAAGAAAGAAGGUGGGUUAGGGAUCAAAGAUUUGGAGGGAAUGAAUCUGGCGCUGCUAUCUAAAUGGUGGUGGCGCUUCUUCAACGAACCACAAUUACUGUGGCCCAAAUUGAUUUCAUGCCUCUAUUAUGUCAGAAGAAGACCUUUACAUGAGGGAAGAAGUUUUGUACCCCACUCGCAGUGGUGGAAAGGUGUUCUGCAAUGCCGCGACGCCUUCAAAUGCGGUUUAUCUUUUGAGCUUGGCGAUGGUCGGAACAUCAGGUUGUGGUCCGAUAUUUGGAUUGGUGAAACAUCUUUGAGCACCUUGUUUCCAGACAUCUACGCUCAAAUCGCGAACAAGAAAGCUCGGAUAUCUCAAUGCUGGAACCAUAAUGGAUGGAGAUGGCGUUUUAUCACUAGAGGCUUCGCGGCGCCCCGAUUGGCCCACAGUGGUAGACAGCUGCAAUUACUCAAAGACACACUUACAAGCAGACACCCGUGCAGCAGAGAAGANCAACGGCCGAAAACUCAAUAGUACCAAGGACUAGAUAUAUAUAUAUAUAUAUAUAUAUAUAUAUAUAUAUAUAUAUAUAUAUAUAUAUAUAUAUAACUAUCAGCAUAUAUUGAUAAAAUACAUCGAAAAUGAAUUCUUCAUUUAAUGUAUAAUAAAAUAUCAAAGCAUAAAUGCAUGUGACUAAUUAAUAUGUCCUGAUUACAUACCGCCCCAAAUGCAAUUAACAAAAGAUUUAGUGGUUGGUGUCCGAGCCUUCAUGUUUGAAUUCUAGUUGAUUCACAUUUUUCGAAUAGCAUGCUAUCUUUCUCUUAUAUAUAUAGAGUGAGGCUAUUAUGCUAUUGAUAGCACAACCUCACUCAUGCUAGUGAUUUUUCUAUCAUUGGAUUGCUUUGAGAUCCGUGAUAUAACUUAAUGGGAGAUUAACGGAGAGGGAGCCGUUAAGUUUCUCUCACGCUCUCUCUCCCCUCUCUCGAUCUUCCUGUCUCUUACUCCCCCCCCUCUCUCUCUCUCUCUCUCUCUCUCUCUCUCUCUCUCUCUACGCCUUGGUCCAGACCGAGCUUCGCCGCACGCCCCCGUCGCUCCCUGGCGCUGCCCCCCGCAUGCCGCCGUCGCUCCCUGGCGCGCGCACUUAAACGAGGUAUGAUUUUUUUUUUUUGUUAUUACAACUAAAAAAUAGAUCUACAACUUUAUAUUUGUUUAUUUGAUUGGUUUGAUUUGUUUUUUUUUUUCCUGAUUUUGUUUGUUUGUUUGAUUUUUUUUUUUACAUUUAACCUCUCAUAAAAAAAAUUUAAUUUUGACUUUUUUUUUCAGAUUUUUUUUUUGACAUUUCGUUUGAUUUUUCAGAUUUUGUUUAUUUGGUUUUCAGACUUUAAAAGUUCAAAAAUCUGAAAAUCUGAAAGGAAAAAAAAAAAUCUGAAAUGGUUAGCUUUUUAUAGUUAUAGUUAGUUUUUUAUAGUUAUAGUUUUAAAGGUAUUUCUUUUAAUUUGAUCUCUCAAAAAGAAAAUUCUGAAAAACACUAGCAGAGGAGGCUUUCUUUAAAAAAAAAAAACCGAGAGUUUCCAACAGAAUGCCAACAGAAUGCACAUAUAUUCGAAUUUUGAACAUUCAAAGUAAACACUAGUAAGGAAGGCAUUUUUAAAAAAUUCAUUUAAAUGCUUAAACUAUUAUAUAAAAAUGCUUUUAAUAUUAUAUUUAUAUUUAUAUUUAACAUGUGUUUGUGCGGAUGCAUUUUUUUUUAGUAAAAAUGUCCGGAGAAACCAACUGUACCUAGUGCAGUUUGCUGAGGGGAUGAUGAUUGCUACUGAAGAUUCCAAGUAAGAAGUCUAAUUGAUUUAGAUUUCUAAUUAAAUUCAUUUCUAAAGAAAUAAACAAAGCACUCAAGCUUCCUUUUUCUCCACAAAAAAAAAAAAAAAAAAAAAAAAAAAAAAAAACAAACAAGGAGAACCCCUAACUUAUAGGCUAAAUAUUCCACUCCGCCCCUUCUACUUUAGUCAAAAAAUAAUUAAGAGUUUUUAUCAAACUGAUUGAUGAAUUUAUUAAAAUAAUAAUUUACAUCAUUUUUUUAGAGAAUAGAACUAGACAAAUUAACAAAAAAUAGAGUGAAUAAAUUUGAUAAAAAAUAUUUUUCUAAUUAGGAGCUGUUUGGUUCUACGGAAAAGAAUGGAAAAAGUUUUUAGAUUAAAUUUUUUUAUGGAAAAUCUCGUUUAAAGUUUUCCACAUGUUUGGUUCUAAGGAAAAAAAACUUUUUUGAAAGGAUUUUUUUUCCUAAAUUUUAUAAAGAAUUAGUAUUUUUGUUUCCUGAAAUUUUUUAGAAAAAUAGAAACACUUACUUUUCAUAAAAUCUGAAAUUUUUUUUUUUCAAAAAAGCUAUUCUUUUAGAAUCAAACAGGAGAAAAUUAGAAAAGUAGUUUCUUAUAAAGAAUCUUUUUCUUGAAAAAUAAUUUUCUAUACUUUUUGGAGGAAUCAAAUAGCCCCUUAAAUAUAACCCAAGAAAAAAAAAGAUGAAGUUGAGGGGAUGUCAAUUAAAAAAAAAAAAAAAAAAAUUUUAGUUUUUAUAACUAACAUUAUUUAAUUUUAAAAUUUAGAAGUUGAGGGGUCUCAAUCAAGGGAAAAAAAAAAAAAAAAAAGAGUUAAGGAGUCUAUUUUAGAAUCGCCAAAAUUUUCUCUAUUUGGUUGAACAAUUGUUUUUCUCCACCUAUUUGUUUUGAUUAUCUAUCCUAUCAUCAAUUAAUAAACAUCUUUAAUAGCUAUGCAAUGUUUGCUUGAUGCUAUAUGCCUUAAGAGCUAUGCAAUGUUUUGUUUUGUUUUUCUUUUUUUUUUUCCAACACACAGGGGAUUGAAUCACUGACCUCCUCCACCCUUCACUCCUCUCCCCAAAACAAUACACAUCAUCUACACUAGCACAUCUACACUAGCAGCUGGGUGUAGCUAUGUAAUGCUUUAAUUUGGGGAGUUAGUUUGCAGUAGAAGGAAAAUUUUGUCUUACGUUUUUUGCUUUUUAUCUUCUUAUUUUCUUCUUUUUUAUUUUGGGUAAAUUGUAUAGAACUUGCUUGGACUGUGGAUCAUUCUGGAUUGGUUAUACAACCUUCAAAAUUAUCUUCUGUGAAUAAAUUAUCUUUUACAAAGUAAGCUCCUUAAAUUGAGGGGCUUCUAUAUUCCUGAAUAAAUUAUAUUCUUGAAUAAUAUCGUAUAUGUGAAACAAUAAAAGAUUGGUUAACAAAAGUGUAUCCGCACAAAGAGAGAGAGAAGAAACAGAGAGAUGUAUCCAGAGAGAGAGAGAGAGAGAGAGAGAGAGAGAGAGAGAGAGAGAGAGAGAACUUUGGUAGGUGAUGCUAGUAACAGGCUAGCAACACUUUUGGAAUAGAAUGAAUUUGUUGAAUUUGAUAAAAUAACAACACCUUUCUAUUCCUUUUUCUUUCUCAUAUUCAUCAAGUGUUUUUUUUUUUGUUUUUUUUUUGGUUCAUACACAACUGUUCUUCAUUUUCAAUCCACAUUGGUGAGUCAAGGUUCAUUACAAAUUUUUGUUCACUGAAUUAUAGGGUGACAUACAUACCUCAAUCUGCAAUACAACAAUGGAAGCCAUAGAAGGGAUGGCCCGUCUAGAAGUGCCUCUAAUUUCUGUUGCUGAUGAUGUUGGCACAUCUAGUGAAAAGGUCAAUAGCGGAAUUGCUGAGGAGGCUACUAGUUCAGUCACCGAAUCGAGUAUGAAUGUGGAUUGUUGGAUUAAAGAGGUGGAGAAAAAAUGCAAGGGCGCAUCCGAAGGUUUGCUAUGGCAGUCCAAGAUGCCCGACGAUAAAGGAGAGCAGUUAUCUCAACAAAGGGCAGUGGCGAUAGGGCCAUUUAAUAGGGACAAGAGCACACAUAUUACUGAUAAAGAAAAAUAUUUGAUUGUCCACCUGAUGAAUAAUCUAUACGAUCAUCUUGACUUGGAAGGCUGCUUCAAAAUGAUAAAAAAUCAAGUAGUAGAUGCUCGCAAAUGGUACUCCGAUUCAGAUAUGCCUGAAAGCUUUGGCUCUACAAAUGACAACACAUUUGCAGAGAUGCUGCUGCUAGAUAGCUGCUUCAUCUUGUUUAUGUUGACGUCCAUCAGUGAGAUUCAUAGUAAAGUGACUCGUGAGGGAGUGAUUCUACAUAGACAUUAUUGUUCAAAGAGCCUAAAGAUUAUGCCGGGUAAGCUGUUUGGAGCCGAUUCUUCAAAGAAGCAGGAGAUUAAGCUGGCUCUAGACGUCGUGCCUAGAUUUGCCGGCAUAUUACGUCACAAAGACAUGAUCAUGGUGGAUUUGCUGACCCUCCAAAACCAAAUCCCUUUCUUUGUGAUCGAGGAGCUAUUUAAGAAGCUCCAGUUGGAGAAUCCACUCCAUAAAUAUGCCCUCAAGUUCUUCAAGACAGUCCAUCCAAGGUCCACGCAAGGUUGCAAGGGCAAAAAUAGUCCUCCCAAAUUCCUACAUUUGCUCCAUCUUUUCCACUGGUCUCGAGUCCCAAAGAAUAAGUGUGAUGUACUUAGAUCAUGGCGUCCCCAGCUAGAUGAUUUUUACUGGGAUUGCAAAACUCCGAGUGUGAUGGAACUUGGAAAAUCCGCCACAGGGUUCAGAAAGAAAACAUCAGGCAGCUCACUGGAUAUCUCAUUUGGGAGGGGUAGGCUUCUACCCAUUGUCCCGGUGCUCAACAUCCCACGCUUACACAUCCGUGAAUAUAGCAGCCGCAUCUUCCGUAACCUCAUUGCUUUUGAGAUGCAACGUCCAAGAUCGGAUCGCCGCACCAUGGCUUUUUCUGUAAUUAUGCAGAACUUGCUGCAAAGCGAGGAAGAUGUGAAGCUGUUUCGGCAAUGUGGCAUUUUGGCGAACACAUGCAUGACCGACAACAAAAUCGUUAAUUUUUUCAAAAGCUUGAGUCUAUCGAUCGGAAAGGAUGAUAUGCCAAUCGAUGUGUAUGUCUUUUGUCAUCAGGUCCUGUCUUACCACAAUGGUCGAAUCAGUUGAUUCCGUGCCAACGCCAUUCUCAAGUACUUCCCCAACUGGUGACUUUUUCUGUGUUCCCAGCUCCCAUGCUUGUUGUUCUUACCCUCCAGCAAACCCUAUAUUCUAUGCUCAGCUUCUAUAUAUCAUUGUUGAAUGCCCCAAAUUCUACUCAGUAUGAUGGUAAUGCAUGCAUAUAUAUAUUAUCGAACUAAAAAACAUUUUGUACCAAUGUUUAUGGACCACCAUCUUGGGAUGGAAAAGAAGAGUUCUGUGAUGAGCUCCUUGCUUUGGGAGCGGUUUGUUCCAACUAUAAAUGGGCUAUUUGUGGAGAUUUCAAUUUUACCAGAAACCAGGCUGAACGCACCGGGAACCGGGGGAGCAAUAAAGCGAUGUCAAUGUUUUCAGACCUCAUUUCAAAUCUCGAAGCCAUCGAUCUGCCUAUUGCCAACCAAAAUUUUACUUGGUCGAACAUGCAAAGCGCACCGACCCUGGCCAAACUGGAUAGAUUUCUUGUCUCGACGGAGUGGGAUCAAGCUUUUCCGCUUACCAGGAUUUCCGCACUACCUAGAAUUACCUCAGAUCACACCCCUUUAAUACUCGAUACUGGAAACUCGAGCACUCAGAGGAGAUUUCGGUUUGAGAGAGUAUGGCUUACUAGGUCGGACUUCACAAAUUUCGUACCAAUCUGGUGGAACGAAGUAUCUGGUCAGAGGUCUGCCAUCCUUACGCUGACGGCGAAGUUAAGACAUUGCAGAAACAGGAUGAAGGAAUGGUGUAAGACGAAAUUUCAUAGCAUAUCCAUCGCGAUAAGAUCUUUACAGGAAGAAAUUCGGAGCAUUGAUCUUUUGGAGGAAAGGAACAUCUUGACCCAGGAAGUACGGGAUAAACGAGUUGACCUUAAAGCGCAGCUCCAACUCAUCUUAAAGGAAGAAGAAAUCCUGUGGAAAACGAGAGCUAAACAGCACUGGCUAAAGGAAGGAGACAGCAAUACAAAGUUUUUUCAUGCAGUGGCCAACGGGCGGAAGCGUUGUAAUGAGAUUCACUCUAUUGAAGAUGAGGACGGAAGACAAUUCAGUAACGAAGAGCUUAAGAAAUCCUGUUUCUUUCAAUCCUUUAAACGUCUUUUCGAAAGUGUGGAAGAUGACCCGCCGUCUUUCGGCGACUGGGCCGACCUGUAUCGUGGAGACGUCUCACUUGACACGGAUUCCCUCACAAGCCCCUUCACUAUAGAUGAAAUUAAAAAGGCGACUUUUCAACUGGGAAGUGACAAGGCGCCUGGUCCCGACGGCUUCCCGCUAAUUUUCUUCCAACACUUCUGGGAAACAGUAAAGGAUAACAUUCUUGAUAUAUUCAGAGACCUUCAUAGCGCGAAUCUCUUUACGGCACCGGUCGACUACACGUACGUAUGCCUAAUCCCCAAAAAGGAAGGAGCACGCCUGGUUAACGAUUUCAGACCGAUCUGCCUUCUGAACGGAAUACAAAAGAUUAUCUCGAAAGUUCUUGCGAACAGACUUGCGGGGGUAUUACCUUCUAUCAUCUCUCCUUCACAAUCAGCGUUCCUGGAAAAUCGACUAUUAGCUGACUCGUUCGUCACUGCGAGUGAACUUCUCAACUGGUGUGCAAAAACUAAUAGGGAGUGCGUCAGUGUUAAGGUGGAUUUCGAGAAAGCUUAUGACAAAGUCAGCUGGAGGUUCUUGCAAAGUAUAUUACGAUGGCUUGGGUUCAGUGACAAAUGGUGGAACUGGAUUGAACAAUGUAUCGGCAACGCUAAAGUUGCAAUCUUAGUAAACGGCUCGCCGACUAACUGGAUGAAAACAAGGAGGGGACUGAGACAGGGGGAUCCACUAUCCCCCUACUUAUUCAUUUUAGUGGCUGACUGUCUGGCUAGGGUCACGAAAGCAGCAAGGGCUAACAGUUUACUUCAGGGAAUAGGACCCACAGACGAAUGUCAAACAGUAAUUCUGCAGUAUGCGGACGACACUUUAUUCUUCGCAAAGCCCAAGAAGUCUGCUAUGCGCAAUCUACUCUUCAUCUGGAAGAUGUUUGAAUGGGCAUCUGGUCUUAAGGUAAAUAUGAACAAGACGGAGCUUUACCACUUAGGUAUCACCGCUAACAGAGCGAAACGAUAUGCGGAUAUUUUGGGGUGCAGAGUCGGUAGCCUACCGUUCCGCUACUUAGGCCUUCCGCUACAUAUCAACCCCCUUCGUAAGGAAGAGUGGAUGCCGAUCAUCAACCGCAUCGAGACGCGCAUUGAAGGAUGGAAGGCAAAACUCCUCUCUCAAGGGGGGCGACUCAUCUUGGUCAACUCGGUUCUUUCAAAUCUUCCGUUAUUUUACUUCGCAAUCUUCAAAGUACCGCAAUGGGUGCUGAAACGAAUUGAAGCGCUUAGAAGAUCUUUUUUCUGGAAAGGGUGUUCCAAAAUUUCGGGUGGGUCUUGCCUCGUUGGUUGGAAAACGAUUUGUAGGAGCAAAAAAGAAGGAGGUCUAGGGAUAAAAGACAUGGAAGCGACGAAUAAGGCGCUUUUAGCAAAAUGGUGGUGGCGCUUAUUCAACGAGAAAGGUCUGUUAUGGGGGAAGUUGAUCAAUGCAUUAUAUUACACCAGAAGAAGGCCGCUAUGUGAAGGCAGAUCCUUCAGACCGUACUCUCAGUGGUGGAGAAGUGUGAUGAACUGUCGAGACGUGUUCAAGUGCGGUGUUUCAUAUGUCCUCGGUGAUGGGAAAAAUAUCAGGUGGUGGUCGGAUAUUUGGAUCGAUGAAACCCCUCUCAGUACCCGAUUUCCACGAAUCUUCAGCAGUAUCAUACAUCAGGAAGCCACGGUCUCACAAUGUUGGAACGGAAGAGGAUGGAGAUGGCGCUACUUAACCAGAGGCUAUGAUACUCGUACCAUUGGUCAGAACUGCCAACAGACGGCGUUGCUCAAAAACCUUCUCUCUCACUUUAGCCCAUCAGAUGCACAGGACAAACUAAAGUGGCGGUGGACUACCAACCAAAUUUUUACCGUCAAAUCUCUCUAUGAAUUCAUCACCGACGGAGGACAGACUGAUACCUCGUACGACCACCUAUGGGGCUUAAAAAUCCCACUCAAACACAAAGUUUUCAUUUGGAUUCUACUACGAAAGAGAUUACCUACGGCAGACAGAUUGCUUCGCCGAGGAUGCAUCGUGGAUCAGCAAUGCAGGUUUUGUGUGUCACUAACUGAAACCGUCGACCACCUAUUCCACGACUGUAUCGUUGCCAGAUUUUUUCGUUUUAAAGCAAGAGUUCUAGAGGAGGAGAUUUCGGAAGUGGGGGAUGUUUGCCACCUGUGGACACUGAUCUCGGACAUACCCGUGGCCGUUACAAGAUCAAAAUUGUUAACCAAGCUGGCGGCAAUUUGGUGGGUCGUUUGGACGGAGCGCAACGGCAUAUGCUUCCGCGACGUGGCCUUUAAUGUUUCCAGGGCUCUCGAACGUGUCGCCGUUUUGACCGAAGCCUGGAACGAAGCACUUUGAUUAUCCUCCGGGCUGGGUGCCCUGCCCGUGUCUCCCCUUUGCUGAUUUUGGUUUGCUCGUGUCUACUGGGUCUCACGGACCUGGUUUUUUUCUCUUAUUUAUCUCCUUUCUUCCUUUCUCUUGUUCCCUCGGUUCGGAGGCCCUAGCUGCUUCCAAUUUGUAUGCUAAAUUCAUUUUGCUUAAUGAAUGAAGCAGGUAGCUUGCUACCUUUUUCUCAAAAAAAAAAAAACAAAGUGUCUUUGAUAAACGAAAAGCCAGUGAACUCCGUAGGGAACAUUUGAUCACAUGGGAGAGCACGCUCUAAUCAAAUCAUCUUCCCCGGCCAAAUGUUUCUCCAGCUAAAUAUUUUCAUCUUUUUUUUAAAAAAAGAAAAGAAAAGAAAAUUGAUAGAUGAAUGGGCAAGUAAGGUCAUUCCUUGUGAAAUUCUCUCGACAUAAAAAUUUGAUGAGAUCGAUGGAGAAAACAAUAAGAACGAUAAGAAAUUUAUUGGUUCGGCAAAUCCUUUCAAGGAACUCUCUCUCAGGGAUCUCUCUUUUCUCUCCGACGACAAUUUCACAUGGAGGUUGUAAGUUGUGGAAUCUAAAACAAUGGUUUCGAAACAUAACACUCCAUAACAAGUUUCAGCAUGCAUGCCAUGUUCUGGAACUUAAGUUGUUAGUUCCGGAACAAAGCUCACAUUCUUGAACAUGAAUGAGACGUUCUUGAACAUGAGUUCUCAGACUAGCCUCCAACGCCUUCGGAUUCCACGAACCGUUGCCUCAUAUUCCCAAACACACUUUAUACGAUUUCGAAACAUGAAUCUUGUGACCUGAACACUCGACUCUUGAUCAAUAUUGAAUCGACUCGAAACGUGACUUCACCUCGAUCUAACAAGAUCAUUCCUAAGAAUGAUCAUUCUUACUAUAAAUUUACUAGUAUCUCUAAUCACUGUACUUCCAACUACGUCUGUUUUAGUAUGAAUUGAAAUGCAUUUAGCUACAAAUAUAGCAAACCUAACCCACUCCUCUUUAAAUAUAUAUAUCUCAACACUUUGGAAGCUUAACAAGCCUUAACUAUGGUGUAUGAUUUUGAGGGUUACAGUUAAUGACAACUUGUUAGCUCGAGUGGCGUGAGCCAAUGGCUCAAGUUGCAUUAGAAAAACAAUGAUAAAGGUCCCAAGUGCAUUGCACCUUCAAAAUAAGACACCCCCCUGCGGGAAAACAUAUGCGCAUUUUCGCAUUAAUUGUUGUACUCUUCUGACACGAAUAUUGUGGCGUUGAUUGUUUCCGUGUACGUAAGAGAUCAUGUAAGUAAUAUCAAUCAGUAAUCUGUAACGUGCAGAUGAUUAAAUUAUUCGACAUUUGUAUCGGUUGCAGUUUAAAUUUCGAGUAUUCUUUCCCGUUACGACAGAAAAAUGAAAAGUUCGAUCUUGAGAUUUCCGAAGGCGGAGAAUACUUUCGAUUUAAUCCAUACCACCGUAUAGCUUAAGAUUUCCGUCGAUCCUCCUACGUUGAUUCCUGCACCACUUUAUGUCCAUUUCUUUCUUUGAUGAUUCCUGCAUCUCUUUUAUGUCCAAUUCUUAGUUGUCCCCUUUCCUUGGUACUUACAAGGCAAGAUACACAUGUGCAACAGAGAUAAAGAGAGAUGACACAGAGAAAUCAAGAACGAAACUGGAGGGAUUAAGGUCGAUAGGACGAUCUGUUUGAGCCUCUUUUCACCCCCUCCUCGAAGGCGAAGAGAGCGCAGAUAGGAGGAGCAAGAGAGGAAGGUUUGAUGGCAGGUCAUUUCGGCUCGGAUGCAGUGCUGCUGGUGGUGGUGCUGGCGGCAAUUCUUCUACUGCUCCCUUUGGUGCUUCCUCCGCUGCCGCCGCCACCGUCGCUGCUCCUCUUAGUGCCCGUCGGGAUGGUGCUGCUGCUCGCCUUUCUCGCUUUCGCCCCCUCUCACAACACCUUCGGAAACGCAAACUUUCCGCAAUGAAACAAAACAUCCAUCGGUACGUAUCUCGCGACCGCAAACACCUCUCAUUUGUCUCUUUUCCUCUUUCACCUUUACUUCCAGAAGCAUUAAAGGAAAGGAGAGGAAAGAUGAUAAAAAUGGAAAGCGACUAAAAGACAGAUUCCUUCUUAUCACUUACUGAUUAUUUGUUGGUUCUUCUACAUCAAAUACUAUUUCCAUCAAUGUUGUAUUUGAUUCUUCCCCUCAUAGGAUGAGUGAAUUAUUUUCUGGGAAGAGGCCUUAGGGAGAACUUUUGCUCUGCCCACGGCCAAAGAUCAAACACAAAUUUACAUGUGAAGAGGAAAUAAAUGGGAGAAGGGAACAAAAAGGGAGGCGCCCGUCGGAAGCAGGAUGAAAUAUAACCCCUACCCUUGGAGCAGCUGCGGUGGUUGCGAUUGUUCGGGCGGACUCUGCAGCGGAGUCAAGCAAUAGAGGAAUAAGCCGGCAACGAGAACUGCAGCACCAGCAACGAAGCCCGCUGGGAGCGAUGACGCCACUCCGAUGUAUGGUAAGGGCAGUGUGAAUGCGUAGAUGGACAACGGAACUGCACCACAACCAUCAUCAACAAACUGUUACAUUUUCCACUUAAAAUGUACCUGGUUUUGAAAGGUAGAAGGGAACGGCGGAAGAAAAGAAAACAGAGAAAGACCGGUGCUACUAGUUAGAUUUGUUUUCAUUGACAUUUGCAAAAGUAAUUGAUAUGUUGAUCUUCUGUAACUCCGCAAAUGAUCGUUAUGAACAAAACAAUUCAUAUCUUCCGAAAUCAAAACAAGAGAAGCUAAUUGAUUAUACAAAACGUGCCGAGUAAGACUUCACCAUCAGGUAGCAUAAGGAGCUCGAGAAAAUUAAAGUAUCAUUUUGUCACCCAGGGCAUACCAAUUUAGACUAUUUUAUCUCUGAAAUCAAAUGGAGAAUAACAAACGAAGCUGAUUUAAUUAUUUUUGUCAUAAUAGUAACUAAAAAGGAACCUACGAUGUCAGUGAGUAAAAAUACCCAAGCUUUUACCCGGAUCAGAACCUGAAUGAGGCGGUUUUAACCGAACAUAAUUAGGGACAGUUUCAGUGAUCGGAAAGAAAUUAACAGAUAAGGCAAGGAAAACAGAUAGCAGUUACAUAGAGAGAGAGUAAUGGGAAGACCAGAGAGCUAACCUGAAAAUGUGGAAGCAAGGCAAGAUACCACUGCAGAAGACAUUUUGAGAAGGUGUAGCAAAGAUAUGUUGAAUGCCAUGUUAACUAUUACAAAGAGAAGCGGCAGCAGCGGUGCUCCUUCACAUCCUGCAAGAAACCAUCAUUAUUAGGAACUUUAGUUGGAAAGAAGGAAAAAGAACCCAGCAGAAGCUGAUGUGAAAUAUGAAUUGUGAUAAGUACCAGCCGAUAAUGAUCCUAUAUUGAGAAAACAAGCUGCACCAUCUCUUAUGUAUGUAGGCAGGAGAUGGAAUGGAACUCCCCACAACUUAGACAAAAGGGGUAGAAGAAGACAUAUAAAGAAUGCCUGCAAAAUAUCAUUUUUAAUUGUUAAGAAAGUUCAAAUUCCAAUUGAAAUUUGGGUUUCAAGUUAUUGUCAAAUAUGGUAGGCACCUGGUAAGCAGAUCCGAACGAGUUGACAACAAAAAGAUCAACCGUUCCUCCCUGUGGUAUGCAGAUUUUGCUUGUUAGGAAGCAUUAUAAGUAUAAAACACAAACGAAGAAUUGAAAAGGUAAUAUACUGAUAAGUGAAUAGUGACAAUAUUUUGCUAUCAUAACUUCCGAGAAAGAUGAUUAUGGCCAAGAUUGGGAAUAAUUCUCCCAGUGCAGCAGCUUUGAGUUUUUAAAUCACCAUACAAAUCUGAAAACGCCUGAAAGCUCCAUAUCUUCCUAUGUGCCCAAUAACACCGAAAAUGUGGCUGGACAUUAGAUUGAUAUUAAUACUGGAAGGCUGGAGAUCUAAAUUGCUUUCAGAUUUUUAUGGAGCUCCAAAGUACCCAAAAUGGCUGCUACAGGAGAAGCAAUCAUAAUCAAGUCCUGUAUAGUGCAACACAAAGAGAUCAAUAAUACCAACGAGUGUACCUUCAGCUUCUUUGCAGCAUCCAAGAAUAUUAUCUCCUACAGAUUAACAAUGUUUGACUGCAUCAGAAAAAACUUAUCUUAACAACUUGGGGUAGUGGAUAUAAUUUCUCAUAUCUACUUCGGUAGUUUUGAUACCUUCAAAACUGUGUCGGCAGCUUGAAACAAAAAUGAAGUAAUCAUCAAAAGGGGCCAAAAUAUCCCAGAGCCUUUAAGCGAAACGCUUGCACCAGAUCCACUGCAUAUGUCAAAGUGAAAGUACUAAUAGUAGAAUGACUCAGAAUUAUAGAAAGUAUUUACUAAUUUCUACUCAUAGCAUCAGAACAGGGUAUCUCUAUAGCACUUCCACUUUUCAUCAAACCGGCCGAUUUUAGGGAAGCACUUCCAAACUAGACCUUAAGGUACUAACUAUUUUCUGGUCAUGCUACCAAUUAUGCAUCAUGCAUCAUAUGGAAAUAAUCAUCAAUAUAGAACAACUUACUGCAAGGAAGAGUACAUGUCCCUGCUAGAAGUGCAAUGCAGCUGACAACUGUUUUAGCAUGCUUGCAUAAUAUGGUCCUUGAACUCAUCAUGAGUAAUUAUAGAAAAUCUGGUAAUAGAGUAAGAAUUUCUAUUUAUUGCUUACAAAUAAGUGAAUCAACUUUCAGUAUUUCAGAGGAUGCUUAUAAAUAGUUCAGAAGCUUCUCAUUUACAAAGCCAAUGCGAACAGGGCGAACAGGGCAAUUUCAGUUAUUAUUAUAACAAAAACUCAAGAUUUGAAACAUUUCUUUCUUCUUUGUGCGUUAUACGGUCAAUGAUAUGUUACUGAAUUCAUAUUCGCUGAAUAUACCUUGCUACAGUUAUAAUGACACCAAUAGCAACAAGUAAGCAUCCUAGUAGCUGGUUGGACUUGUAUCGUCUCCUCAGAAAAAUAACCGACAAGAUAAGCUGCCAAACAAGAAAGGUCUGCAAAAAGAAACAUUACAAACUAUUAAUUUUGAAAUACACAUAUACCUGAAAUCAUAAAGGAUGUAAAACAGUGAAAAGUUUAUUCACCUGCGAUAGUAUUGGAAUUGAAGCCCCGGAAAGAACAGCUGCUCCAAGAAAGAGUGAGCAAAUCAAACCAAGUAUGAUAAGUAUUAGAAAUUAAAAUUGAUUCACUUUCACAAAAGAACUCCGAAAAAUGGGGGAGAGGUUAAAAAAGAAAAAGAAAAAAAAUAUACUGAAACUCAUGGGAUCUAACAACUUUGUGUGUGUGUGUGUGUGUGUGUGUGUGUGUGCGCAUGUGACAAUUUGUACAUGGACAAUAGCAGACAAUAAAUUGGCCAGAUAUCACUGUAUACUUUAUAGUGUCAAAUGUCACUAUGAAUUGGAAAGCAGUGCGAUAACAACUUGUACACAUGUCAUAACAUGAAGAAUUAAAAGUGUCAAAUUGAUUUUAUCUACUUUGUGUGCAUCGAAAGCAUUUUGAUUUAGCUUCUAGAAUUUUGUCUACUACAUGUUUACAUGAGGAACAGACAGAUUUACCAGCUCAGUUGUACUGCAGAUGUAUCCUUUUAGAAUAGGAUAAAUGAUGCAUGUAUGAUUGACUACAGAAAACUAAUAAACUUUCAAAAAUGAACUUUACCUCCAGCUGCCAUGCCAGAUGCGGCUCCUAGAGCUUCUAGCAGUCCUACAGCUAGAAACGGCGUCUUUGGUAGAGAAAGCAUUUCAUGGGUUACAAUGCCAGCGUGAUAGCGAAUAUACAGGAUGGAGAAGUACACAACCACAUAUCUGGUAUUCAAAAGUACGCAUGUAGCCAAAUUAGAAAUAUCACUUACCAAAAUGUGAAUAGAUGAAUGAGUUCAAAUUUUGUAGUACAUUGUGAGUGAUAAAAGCAUGCUAACGCUAAGUUUGGUUUUUGGUUAACUAACAGAACAAUAGGUCAUAUACAAACUAAGCGAUACCCCCAAGUUUCAAACCAUCUAGAAACUCGUUAUACUAAACAAUAUUCUUUUUAGCAUAUAAUAACAUGACCAAUUACAUGAUCUAAUUAUCACCCCAGGAUUUCGAUAUCAUUCGAAUGCAGAUCCGGUUCACGAGUUGGUCAAACCGGUUGAUAGAGCCAUUGGGUCGUCGAACCCGAAAGCUAUGGUCGAGAGAGCUGCUACUCAGAGUCUCGGAUCAACCAAUUGGUAAAAUAACUAGUUGCCUAGUUAGGAUCAAUCCCCUGUUAGAAUCAUACCCUUCCAAUUUAAAAUUGUACUCGGAAUGCUCUCUCUCGAGGACAUAGGCUCCAAAACAAAUGUUUAUCCACCACUUUUAUGUCAUGAAUUUAAUGAAUUAUUAAGAAAGAAGAGUAUAGUUCAAUCUAAAGUACAUCUCAAAUUUCUGGAGUUUCAAUGUCCUUUUUCCGCUGGACAAUGUAGAACACAUUUGGCAAGGGCUGCUCUAAUUUUAUAUUUUUCACAAAAAAAUCAAACAAUAUUUUAAGCUUGGAAUUAUAUUUCUAUGAUAAAAAGCAAAGUAAACGUGUUAAGAACACGCUUACGCACAUGUAAAAUUGCAGCAUCCGUGAUAUUUAAGAGGCUACAAUCAGAUGCGCACUAAUAAGCUUUUGAGUGGUACGAGUCCCACAUUAUUUCAACUAAGAAACAACUUGUCUAUGCGUAACAGGAUGGUCAGACUUGUUGCCUGCUGGUGGGUCAUUUGGACGACCAGGAAUGAUGCAAUUUUUAGUAAGACCGAGCCGGACCCCCUACGUGAUGUCUAUAAGAUUAAACAGUUGACGAACCUGUGGGAGCAUCAUAUCACAGCUAAGAAGUAACAACAUAUCACCCUUUUUUUUUCACCCUCCUCAAGACUUCGGAUGCCUCACCCUUGUAAUUUAAUUCAUCCUUUUAAUGAAUGAAGUAACAUGUUAGUUUUCCCUCAAAAAACAAACAACUUAGUCAAUUUUAUGUAUUUUUCUCAAAAGACAAAACAUUUUUUUUCAAUAUUAAUUAAUUGUGCAUUAAUUUAUGAAAGUCAUAGGAAAUGGGAAAUGGGAAAUGGGAAAUGGAAGGUGCGUAACGGCUUUUCGCAGCCGCAACGCGCCACGCCACACGUUCCGUUGCUCGACACAACGACACACGACGAGCUCGAACGUGCCAAACAAAAUGUGGGGCCCAACGACACGUGCUCUUUCUUUUUCUUUUUCUUUUUCUUUUUUCCACUUCUUCAUCUCACGACAAUAUCAGAAAAUUUCUAAAUAUAAAUAAUUAGUUUUAAUAGUAAUUAUAAUCCGCUCUUUUUAUAGAUUUUUGUUUAAUAAUGAUUACAAAAUUGGGGAAAAAAAUUGGACAAAAAAGCGACCACAUACAGUCCUAUCAAGUCGCACGUGGACACGUGUACGAUAACGGAGAUCGACACAGCACUUUUAACCGCCGUUAUUUCCCUCGGGAACAAAUCAACCUACUCUUUCUCACGGUACAGCUACGCCGUUAAUGACACUUCAGACGACAAAAUUAAAAAGAAAAAAAAAAAAACAUUGCACCACGAGUGUCCAAAAUUAAUCCAAAUCUGAUCGAUGUUUUAACAUUUAAACUAAAAUUUCUAAAUAAUUAUUUUUAAAAGUAUUUACUUAAUCAAGAGAAAUUUACACAUUUUAGCAUUAAUAGUUUACAAGAAAAAGAAAGCAAUUUCCAAAACUUAAUUACAGCAAAAUGAGAAAAAUUAGACCGAAUUAUUAUCCAAAUUAAAUUUGAAAAUUAGAAAAAUAAGGAGGAGGAGGAGGAGGAGGAGGAGGAGGGAGUGGUGGAAACACNAAACAUUUUGUACUACCAAAUGUUGGAUAUAUAUAUGUUUACAUUCAGUAUUCUCUAUUACUAACUAAUUUGGUGUUCUUGCGUUAUUAGUGUAGUGGCUUUUUAUUUAUAUGAAAUUUCUUCACACAUGUGACUCUGGAUGAGAUCUGUGAUGCACAUAUAAAUCACAAAUAAGGGUCAGGGGUAUCAAGGAUUUUAGUGCUCGUCACCACAAGCUGUCUCUACUUUAUUAUACUAUGUUGACAAAAUAUUGACACGAUACAAUUUCAUGCCAAAGGCACGUACGGCUCAAACCCUCUUUUUUUUUUUUUUUUGUCACAUUAGCAAAUAGUUAUCUAAACUAGGAAAGAUCAGAUAAAAAUAAAAUUAAAGCAUGAAAUCCUUUAUGCUUCCUUCCUAAAGCUCUCUACCCAACUUGGGAGAGAGCUUCUAGAGAGAGGGAGAGAAAUGAGAGAGGAGUGUAAUAGCUGUGAGAGAGAGAGAGAGAGAGAGAGAGAGAGAGAGAGAGAGGGUGUUGGGAUCUUUUUAUAAGUUGUUACAAUAGCAAAAAGGCCCUCAUUUUUUUUUAUUUACAGCAAACCUAACCUGCUGUUUCGCAGUCGGCAUACCGGUACGCGGGCAAUUUGUCACCGGUACGCUCCCGCGCAGCUGCCGAGAUUCGAGACCUGAUGUUCUCGGUCUGGCGUAGGGUAUCAGUACUCGGGAAAAUAGUCACCGAUCAAUAGCCUUGACGGAGGCUAACCCGAGAGCUGCUACUCUCGGUCAGCUGCUUGGUGCCGGUACUCUUUGAAAUAGUCACCGGUUAACAAUGCUUCAAAAUUUUCGUUUUACAUUAUUUCGACUUUAUUUCGCACCGAGUAAUAUUAAAACCUUUUUAACUCACUUGGAACUCAACUUUGACCCUUCCAACAUUAUUGAAAUGCUAAUUGGAUUUUGUCCAAUUAUUUCUCUCGCACACUUUAGUCGAUUUGACUAAAAUUCGAUAUACACUAUCGAGGCUUCGGUAUAUUACACUGGACGUAAUGUCGUUUAAGCUGCUCCAUCGCCCGAAGGGAGGGCUCGUUGCGGCGACCGUAGGGGCCGAUGGCGACCAUUCGGGGCUUGUACAGCACCGUGUUGCGCUCCCGGAUGAAGGCUGCGACGCGGAAGAAGGUGAAGUUCUUAUCCGCGGCCGUCGGCUCAUCGCUCAAGGCGCGUUGUUUAUGCCUGGCUCUCAGCAGGGACUUGGACUUGGGAAUAUCUAGUGCCACUUCCACUCCUUCCAUCGUCAACCUGUACCAGAGGUUCUCAAACUCUCACGAAUUUAUUGGUGCAGAAAAAAUAGGAUGAAAGAGUCCUCCCUCGGCUUAUCUAUAUCCGCAGCUAUGUUAGUUAACUCACGAAUUAUUCGCGAAUUUUUGAAAAAACAAAUUAAACGGCCGAAUACGUAUUUUUUCGAAAAAUUCGAAAAAAAAGUGAUUUUUUGACUAAAAAAUACGGAUUCGCGUAUUAUAGGGCGAGCCGUAUUAUUCGGCCAAAAGAAACUGCUCACACCCGCGCAGCCCGUGCCUGCCCCCGCCGCUCGUGCCUGCCCGCGCUCCCGCGGGCUCCCGCACGCGCGCAUGGGCCGGCGUGCCCAAAACAGUGAAAUGCCAAAAAAAAAAAAAAAACUCUCCAAACACCUUGCCUAAGACCCAAAAAAAAAAAAUUUUCUUUUCAAAUUUUUACUUAAUUAAUUUAAUUUUAUAGCUAUUUAUUUUUAUAUUUUUUAAAAAAUAUGAAUAUUUAUACUAAUAGCAUAAAUUUUAAAAAAAAAAUAAUUUAAUAGCCGAAUUUUUUAUCCUGAAUUUUUAAUUGGUAAACGUAUAAUAUCCGUAUAAAUCACGUAUCCGAAUAAUUGAUGAAUCUAUUUUUUAGCCAUACUUUUCAACGAAUUUAAAAAUUAGAAAACGAAUUUUAUCCGAAUUAUAUCCGUACCAAAUUUUUACCGAAUCCGAAUUAACUAACUAUGAUCUGCAGACGCAGAGCACCCUGGAUUGGGACAGAAAUUAUUCGGAGAUUUGAAAUUCAAAAAAAUAAAAGUGUAUAUUUGAGCCCGUCGAACAUAUCGCUAUUUGGACGUUAGAUUUCACAUCUCGAGUAAAAAUCUAAUAUAUAUUUAAAAAUCACAAAAAAAUAAAAAAAUUAAAUAGUUUUUUAGAUAAAUUUUUAGUUUCAAAACUUAGUAUCAAAUUAAUUUUCAAACUCUUAAUUUUAAAAUUUUUAAAAUUCUUAAUUAUUUUAUGUUAGAUAUAUUUAUAUAAUUUUUAAUACUAAUCUUUUUUUUUUGAGAAAAAGAUAAUAUAUUAUCCCCUUCGUUCAUUUUUUUUUGAAAAUAAACUUACACAGAAUUAUGAAAUAAUUAGGUUCUAAACUUAGAACUUCAGUUACCAACCGCCAAGUCUUUUGUCAAUUACACUAGAGACCAGCGGUUAUUAGUGGAUUUACAUAAAAAUUAUUAUUAUAUCAAAAGUCUGCAUAAUUAUUUGUCAUUAAGUUUUGAAACUAAAAAUUUCAAAUUUCUUUCUAGUAAUUGUUUUAAUAUAUGUAAAAUUAUUUAAAUUAAUUGGUGCUGAGUGCUGAAAACUAAUUAAAUAAGGUGUCUCGAAAUAUGAGAUUAGUGCACACGGGAAGAUAAAUUUUACAUUCGUAAAUUCAUAAUUUUUUUUCUUCACCCCUUUUUGACUUUUAUUCCCUGUGGUGCUUUCUUUUUUUUUCUUUUUUGUUGAGAGAAAGAUAACAUAUUAAUUAUUUUGUUUAUUUUUUUAAAAUAAAUUUAAUUAAAAAUGUGAAGCAACUAUAAUUGAAAUUUUAAAUUUUGGAUAUCAAUUACUAAACCUUUUGCGCAGCAGCUGGGACGUUUUUAAGCCCUCGGAGCUAUAUUUAGGGAUGUCGAUGGGUAUAGAUACCAAAAAUUUUAUCCGAAUCGACCCAAAUGAAACGGAUAUAUCCGCUGGAUAUGAAUAUGAAUUCGAAUAUAGAUAUGAAAAAUAGAAACCCGACGAAUAUAUAUUCGGAUAUGGAUUUUGAUUGUGCCUGACCUAACCCGAACCCGAUCCCGAUCCCGAUCCGAGACCGAAUUUAUUUUGUAUUAUAUUAUAUAUAUAUAUAUAUAUAUAAAUUUGAUGUUAUAUUUGAAUUUAUAUUUCAAAAAUUUAGAUUUAAUAUAAUAUAUUUUAAAAUAUUGAAAAAAAAAUAAUUGUUUCGGGUUCAAAUUUUAGGGUUCGGGUUCAUGCUCGGGUUUCGAAUUUUUGGUCGGGUUCGAGUUUGGAUAUGAAUAUUUAAAAUCCGUCGGGUUUGAGUUCAGGUUCAGAUUUCGGGUUUGAAAUCGGGUUUGGAUUCGGAUUUUUAAAAAUCCACCCCGAAUCCGAUCCAUUGACAUCUCUAACUAUAUUAGCUGUUGGAGAUCGAUUGGGAAAAAUACACAGUAAUGAUCUUACUCCAAAGUGCAUCUUCUUUUCUUGUGCACGUGUUAUAUGAAAACGAAUAAAAUAUUAUUUAAAAAUAUUUGUAUUUAUAUAUGAUAUUAUUUAUAUUUGGAUAGAAAAUAUUAAAAUAGAAAUGAUUAUGAUUUUAAAAAAAUUAUAAUUAUUCAGAUAUUCAAAAAAUGAAUAUAGAUAUGAAUAACCAAAUAUUUUAAUAGUAUUAUAUUUUAUAGUAAUAAAUUAAAUUAUAAUAUUAUUUGAUUCCUAAUAUGUGUGUGGGAAAUAAAUAUUUAAGAAAAGCAAAGAGAAUUUGAAUUUGUUUAUGCAUAACUUAAUUCCUGUAUAAAUUAGAUUUAUAGAUCACUUGCACAGUUGCACUAGAUCAAAUAUCUUAUUUUGAGACAAACGUAGUACAUCAUCUGCUUCAUUUAUAAAAAAAAAAUACAUUAGGUUAUAACGAGUGAGGUAACUGUGCCUCGAGAUAAAGUGUGAAAUAAUAAUAAUAAAAAAAAAACUACAGUUGUUUUUUUUUUUUUGAGAAUAAGAUAGCAAGCUAUCUGCUUCAUUUAUUAAGCGAAAUGUACUAAGCGUACAAGUUGAAGACAGCUAGGGUCUGCUAAAAGGUCCGAACGGAUACAAGAAAGACCGACAAACAGAUACGAGAAAGGCCCAAAAAAAAAAAAAAAAGUUGAAGGGUCAAGGGAUCUCAGUUGUUGAAAUCAACAUGUUCAUAGCUAGACUGUGCGAUCAUUGGAGUCAGUUCAUCAGUACUCGCCCGCAGUACCCGGAUCUCAUCCCACAACCUCUCUAAACAUCGCAGCCUCUCUAAAUAUCGCAUAUGAAAUAGCAACCGACGAGAAUCAACUCUUUGGCCCUAAAAAUGUCUUUUGUUUUUCUCCAACCACGGGACCCAAUAAGUGGCAGCAAUAACGGAGAACCCCUUUUUCCACCGAGUGGCAGCAAUAAUGGAGAAACCCUUCUUCUUUGUUGUGCCCUCCUUCGAUCUAAACAGCUUCCAGAGCAGCUCCAACCACAGCUCCCGUCACAGGACCCACCAGAUCAAAUAUUACAGUUGCGUACACCAAUUUAAAAUUUGAAUAUACAUAUAUCAAACUUAAAUUUAAAUUUGGAUCUAUUAAUCCUUCUGAAAUCAAAGUUUAUUUCUCUUUCUACGGCUGCAACUAAAUGAGAAUCGAAAUGAAAUCCUUUCAAAUCAAAUAAAGAUAAUAGAAAUCAGUUGUUCUAAUUCCAGAUGAGCAUAAAUCUGACAUAUUUUCCAAUCCAGAGAUCAACAAUUUUACACUGGUCUGAUCACUUGAGCGUACAAGCAGAGUAUCCCCUGAGGCAAACUAAUUCCUAGGAUGGUAGUAAGGGAAGAUGGUGUAGAAGGUCUGCAGGAAGGUGAAAACAAGAACGAAAACUGCUGCGAUCAAGGAAAGGAUGGCCCACGGGUUGCCGAAAUAGUCCCUGACCAGCUUCGCCCUCCACUUGGGCCAAUCGGAAUCGCAGUACUUCCUCACGUCCCGGAACAACCCGGCGAGGUA
rnacentral:lncRNA from 1 species